rnacentral:rRNA from 1 species
UACGGAGGGGACUAGCGUUGUUCGGAAUUACUGGGCGUAAAGCGCGCGUAGGCGGAUUUGCAAGUCGGGGGUGAAAGCCCGAGGCUCAACCUCGGAACUGCCCUCGAUACUGCAAAUCUCGAGUCCGAGAGAGGUGAGUGGAAUUCCUAGUGUAGAGGUGAAAUUCGUAGAUAUUAGGAAGAACACCAGUGGCGAAGGCGGCUCACUGGCUCGGUACUGACGCUGAGGCGCGAAAGCUAGGGGAGCAAACGGG